rnacentral:tRNA from 1 species
AGCCGCAUAGCUCAAUGGUAGAGCGCCUGGUUUCUCCCCCCCCCCUAAUCCGACCACGAAGACCUAACAGCAUCAUUGCUCUUCCCAGGAGACGGUGGUUCGAUUCCAUCUGUGGCUA